UACAGAGGGUGCAAGCGUUGUUCGGAAUUAUUGGGCGUAAAGCGCGUGUAGGCGGCAGUGCAAGUCGGGUGUGAAAGCCCUCAGCUCAACUGAGGAAGUGCGCCCGAAACUGCAUUGCUUGAGUACCGGAGAGGAUGGUGGAAUUCCCGAAGUAGAGGUGAAAUUCGUAGAUAUCGGGAGGAACACCGGUGGCGAAGGCGACCAUCUGGACGGAGUACUGACGCUGAGACGGCGAA
rnacentral:rRNA from 1 species